AAAGUCAAGGGAUCGAAAGACCUUAUGCUUUUGGAGCGGCCGAUGUCUGAUUAGCUAGUUGGUAAGGUAAUGGCUUACCAAGGCGACGAUCAGUAGUUGGUCUGAGAGGACGGCCAGCCACACUGGGACUGAGACACGGCCCAGACUCCUACGGGAGGCAGCAGUGGGGAAUUUUGGACAAUGGGCGCAAGCCUGAUCCAGCAAUGCCGCGUGAGUGAAGAAGGCCUUCGGGUUGUAAAGCUCUUUCAGUCGAGAAGAAAAGGUUGUGACUAAUAAUCAUAACUCAUGACGGUAUCGACAGAAGAAGCACCGGCUAACUACGUGCCAGCAGCCGCGGUAAUACGUAGGGUGCGAGCGUUAAUCGGAAUUACUGGGCGUAAAGGGUGCGCAGGCGGU
rnacentral:rRNA from 1 species